UACGGAGGGGGCUAGCGUUGUUCGGAAUUACUGGGCGUAAAGCGCACGUAGGCGGCUUGGUAAGUUAGAGGUGAAAGCCUGGAGCUCAACUCCAGAAUUGCCUUUAAGACUGCCGAGCUAGCAGGUGAGAGAGGUGAGUGGAAUUCCGAGUGUAGAGGUGAAAUUCGUAGAUAUUCGGAAGAACACCAGUGGCGAAGGCGGCUCACUGGCUCAUACUGGACGCUGAGGUGUGAAAGCGUGGGGAGCAAACAGG
rnacentral:rRNA from 1 species